CCUACGGGAGGCAGCAGUGGGGAAUAUUGGACAAUGGGCGAAAGCCUGAUCCAGCCAUGCCGCGUGUGUGAAGAAGGUCUUCGGAUUGUAAAGCACUUUAAGUUGGGAGGAAGGGUUGUAGAUUAAUACUCUGCAAUUUUGACGUUACCGACAGAAUAAGCACCGGCUAACUCUGUGCCAGCAGCCGCGGUAAUACAGAGGGUGCAAGCGUUAAAUCGGAAUUACUGGGCGUAAAAGCGCGCGUAGGUGGUUUGUUAAGUUGGAUGUGAAAUCCCGGCGUCACACGGAG
rnacentral:rRNA from 1 species